GUCUAGCUCCUAGGCUACAAUCUGAGGACUUCCAGAUAUUGCUUUUGGAGCUGAAAAAGCUCCCUGAGACCUGGGCAAUAGGGCUGCUGAUUCCCCCAUCCCUCUCGCUGUGCUUGUGGUGCAAGAAUCUGUGAGGUGUGUCAAGUUGACAACUGAAGCUGUCCAGCACAAAUGGGGACUUUGAUUGGACCUGGGCAUCCCAGAGGGCCUGUCAUCCUCCAGGACCUGUCACCUCUUUACAGCUUGGCUGAUGGCUUCCAAGAAGGAACAGUUCAAGAAGAGCCUGGUCAACGCCUGUGGGAAAUGCCAACUGGAAGCCAGUCUGGAAAGCCUUUGGGAAGGAAAAAAAAUACGAACAAUAUUUAAAGACCCAAACCUGGAAGUUGCUCACAUCCUUUCCAUUUAGAGUCAACUGGGAAGAAUGUAGUCACAAGACUAUACCUAGAAGGGAAAAUUAGCUUUUGAUGAGCAGUUAGCAAUCUCCUCUGACAGAUGGUGUCUUGGCCCAUUUUGUGCUGCUAUAACAGAUUAUCUGAUCCUGGGUAAUUCAUAGCAGAGUUAUUUCUUAAAGUUCUGGAAGCUGGGAUAUCCAAGAUCUAGAGGCCAGGAACUCCAGUCCUCUUGCUGGUAGGAGGGCAAGAGAGUGAAUUGAUCUCACAGUUCAGACUCUUUUGCAAUCAGAACAGAUCCAUUGAAGAGCCCUUAAACAUUCCACCUCUCAACAUAGUUGCAUUGAGGAUUAUGCCUCAAUGAAGGAUUGUCUGCUUUUGAUUGGUCUGUGGGCAUUUCUACAGGGGAUUGUCUUAAUUAACAUUCAGAGUGAUGAAGGCCUCCAAAACAGGCCAUAAACAGAGUGGUUCAAGGCUUCAGAAACUUUCAUCUUGAAGAGAAUAUUUAGGAAAUAAAAU